rnacentral:rRNA from 1 species
CUUGCUCCCUUAGGUCAGCGGCGGACGGGUGAGUAACACGUGGGUAACCUGCCUGUAAGACUGGGAUAACUCCGGGAAACCGGGGCUAAUACCGGAUGCUUGAUUGAACCGCAUGGUUCAAUCAUAAAAGGUGGCUUUUAGCUACCACUUACAGAUGGACCCGCGGCGCAUUAGCUAGUUGGUGAGGUAACGGCUCACCAAGGCGACGAUGCGUAGCCGACCUGAGAGGGUGAUCGGCCACACUGGGACUGAGACACGGCCCAGACUCCUACGGGAGGCAGCAGUAGGGAAUCUUCCGCAAUGGACGAAAGUCUGACGGAGCAACGCCGCGUGAGUGAUGAAGGUUUUCGGAUCGUAAAACUCUGUUGUUAGGGAAGAACAAGUACCGUUCGAAUAGGGCGGUACCUUGACGGUACCUAACCAGAAAGCCACGGCUAACUACGUGCCAGCAGCCGCGGUAAUACGUAGGUGGCAAGCGUUGUCCGGAAUUAUUGGGCGUAAAGCGCGCGCAGGCGGUUUCUUAAGUCUGAUGUGAAAGCCCCCGGCUCAACCGGGGAGGGUCAUUGGAAACUGGGGGAACUUGAGUGCAGAAGAGGAGAGUGGAAUUCCACGUGUAGCGGUGAAAUGCGUAGAGAUGUGGAGGAACACCAGUGGCGAAGGCGACUCUCUGGUCUGUAACUGACGCUGAGGCGCGAAAG